CAAUAAAAGCCGAUGCCAAAUAUCCAUGACUAAUUGGUAACUCUAGCAGGAAGGCACUGAAUAUACAAAUAAUUCGCUGCCGGACCACAUUCACUCAAUCGAGAGCUUUUCGCGUGAAAAAUUAGCGAAUGUAUAUCUUUAUCACUUCGCGACAAUAAUAAAAAGUUGCCGCGAUGCGCGGUGUAUUUUCGUGUGGAGCGCGCGCGACUUUCGGGCCGUUCCGGCGCGCGCGUGUUUGAUGAUUUCCUCGGCUGCUCGCCCGCCGCUAUCCGGCUCUGAGUGCGCGUAUCAAGUGUGUGCGGCUGCCAGACAGCGCGCGCUCUCGUUCACUUCGCCGCCAGCCGCGCCGUUACGUUCGCUAAACUAUACUGAAACUACUGCUCAACACAGAAACUAUUCCCGUAGUUCAACCACCAUGCAUGCUUAACCAAGCGGAAUGCAUGUGUGCGUGGAUUCGUCCGCUUCGCCACCGACACCGUGUUGCAUAUUGUAACAUGUUCGUUAUCCGGCAUUCGUAGAAUGAAUGUGUGUGAGUGCAGUGGACGAGCGCGCUCUUUAUUGAAGAUUGGUUUUUAUGUUUUAUAUCAAAUUGACAUGGAAUAUAGAAACAUGGGAGCUCAUUUUCACUCGGGUCCCGAGCGACUAGUUGAAAAAUUAGGUUAUGUGGUUAUAGUAAUAUAGUUAGAAGUUUUAUUCGAGUAUAAAGGCAGGAAACAAAUAUUUGUUGUAUUGUUGGUUGCCGCUAUACUCAACAAUGACAGAUGAAACAAUGCUAAUAUUAACAUUCAAUUGUCCCCACAAAGUUAUAUCAAAUAUUAUUAAACUCAGAGUUUUCACUUGAAUCCCAAGCGCCUAGUUGAAGAAUAUGGUUGUGUGGUUAUAAUAAAGUAGUUACAACCUUUAUUAGAGUAUAAACAAGCAGAAUACAAGGGUUUGCUGUAUUGUUGGUUGCCUAUAUAUAUAUACUCAACUCAAAGAGAUGAAAACCUUUUGACCUUAAAUUUUUACUAUAAAGUUCUGUCAAAUAUUAAAUUGUCAGUUUACACCGAAAAAUUAGGUUAUAGUUAUAGUCACAACUUUUAAUAGAACUUUAUCGACUUUCUUAUAAUGUUGCUAGUCGAUAUUCUACAUAGUUUUCACCCCGAUCCCAAGCGUCUAGUAAAAAAAUAAGGUUAGUGGUUAUAAUAUAUUAGUCACCAUUUUUUAUUAAAGCAUAAAUAGACAGGACACAAUUGCAAUCAUUUUUUAUUAUCAAAAGCACAAUAAUUAUUAAAUUCUUUUAAUUUUUGUGACUUUAUUAGCUUCAGUUUAACGUUGGUUGCCUAUAUACGCUCUUAAAAUGUGAUUGCCACCACAACGUCAUAUCGAAUUUUAAAUACGCAGCGAAUAUGGUGAAUAUGUGCAUAUUAUUGAAGCAAUAAAGAAUAUUCCAAGCUUC